AAACUGCGAAUGGCUCAUUAAAUCAGUUAUCGUUUAUUUGAUAGUACCUUACUACUUGGAUAACCGUGGUAAUUCUAGAGCUAAUACAUGCUAAAAACCUCGACUUCGGGAGGGGUGUAUUUAUUAGAUAAAAAACCAAUGCCCUCCGGGGCUCCUUGGUGAUUCAUAAUAACUUAACGAAUCGCAUGGCCUUGUGCCGGCGAUGGUUCAUUCAAAUUUCUGCCCUAUCAACUUUCGAUGGUAGGAUAGUGGCCUACCAUGGUUUCAACGGGUAACGGGGAAUUAGGGUUCUAUUCCGGAGAGGGAGCCUGAGAAACGGCUACCACAUCCAAGGAAGGCAGCAGGCGCGCAAAUUACCCAAUCCCGACACGGGGAGGUAGUGACAAUAAAUACUGAUACAGGGCUCUUUUGGGUCUUGUAAUUGGAAUGAGUACAAUUUAAAUCCCUUAACGAGGAACAAUUGGAGGGCAAGUCUG
rnacentral:rRNA from 1 species